GCACAAGCGGUGGAGCAUGUGGUUUAAUUCGACGCGACGCGAAGAACCUUACCAAGGCUUGACAUGCACGGGAAUGUCGGAGAAAUUCGGCAGCCCUUCGGGGCCCGUGCACAGGUGCUGCAUGGCUGUCGUCAGCUCGUGUCGUGAGAUGUUGGGUUAAGUCCCGCAACGAGCGCAACCCUCGCCCUUAGUUGCCAUCAUUUAGUUGGGCACUCUAAGGGGACUGCCGGUGAUAAGCCGGAGGAAGGUGGGGAUGACGUCAAGUCCUCAUGGCCCUUACAGGCUGGGCUACACACGUGCUACAAUGGCGGUGACAGAGGGACGCAAAGGAGUAAUCCUUCGCAAAUCUCAAAAAGCCGUCUCAGUUCGGAUUGUGCUCUGCAACUCGAGCACAUGAAGUUGGAAUCGCUAGUAAUCGCAGAUCAGCACGCUGCGGUGAAUACGUUCCCGGGC
rnacentral:rRNA from 1 species